rnacentral:rRNA from 1 species
AUUGAACGCUGGCGGCAGGCCUAACACAUGCAAGUCGGACGGUAGCACAGAGAGCUUGCUCUCGGGUGACGAGUGGCGGACGGGUGAGUAAUGUCUGGGGUUCUGCCCGAUAGAGGGGGAUAACCACUGGAAACGGUGGCUAAUACCGCAUAACGUCGCAAGACCAAAGAGGGGGACCUUCGGGCCUCUCACUAUCGGAUGAACCCAGAUGGGAUUAGCUAGUAGGCGGGGUAAUGGCACACCUAGGCGACGGUCCCUAGCUGGGCUGAGAGGAUGACCAGCCACACUGGAACUGAGACACGGUCCAGACUCCUACGGGAGUCAGCAGUGGGGAAUAUUGCACAAUGGGCGCAAGCCUGAUGCAGCCAUGCCGCGUGUAUGAAGAAGGCCUUCGGGUUGUAAAGUACUUUCAGCGGGGAGGAAGGCGGUGCGGUUAAUAACCGCGCCGAUUGACGUUACCCGCAGAAGAAGCACCGGCUAACUCCGUGCCAGCCGCCGCGGUAA